GAGGAGCAGUCGGAGAGCUGCGGCAGCCCGCCCCGCACGUCGGGCGCCAGUAAGAAAGAGUCUUACCCGCGUGGCCCGAGUGCUUCUGGCGACUUUCCAAGCAACUAACUGCAGGAGAAAUUUUUGGCACUGGAAAGUGAUAGCCCCGUCAUGAAUCAGAGCGAUCCGGGUAUCAGCACCAUGUUUGUAUCAUAAAAAGAAUUUGAAACACUGGACCCAGAACAUGGAGGAAGCCCUGAAUGUGUCAAGGAUGAAGCACCCUCCCACUCAGCUGACGUAAGUUGUUGUUUGCACCCCAAGCUGGGAUUCCUUGUAUGUCCUCGGGAGUCAUGAUAGGUGCCAGCAAGUCUGUGCCAGACUGGGAAAAUGCUUGUGCAGCUGAGGUCCUUUGCAGAUUUGAGGCCCCUUCUAUCUUCAUAGUCUAGUUAUUCCUAAGGGAAAAGAAUGAAGCUUUUGCCAUCGCCUUGCUUCUCCCCUUCAGGAGGAUUUUUUCCCCUUUUUCCCACCAUUACUACACCUUCCCUCCCAAUGCCACGCCUCUUCCUGUUUUCUCCUCCUCCUUUUGCUGUACUGUCAUAAAUCUGCAAACUUUUGUGAACUCUUUGGGUUCCACAUGCAUGUUUAUUUCUCUUGUAAUAAACCUUGUUUUCACA